rnacentral:snRNA from 1 species
UCACUUACCUUGACAGGGUCAAUGGAAGAUCAAGAAGGUCCAUGGCCUAGGUUGGUGACCUCCAUUGCACAUAGGAGGGGUGCCUACCAAAGGUUGGCCCAAGUGAUUUAGCCUAUGUCAUAAUUUGUGGUAGUGGGACCUGCGUUUGUGCGGUA